rnacentral:rRNA from 1 species
GACGAACCGUGCGAACGUUAUUCGGAAUCACUGGGCUUAAAGCGCGUGUAGGCGGGUGGGAACGUCGGCCGCUGAAAUCCCCCGGCUCAACCGGGGAAGGGGCGCCGAAACGGCCCGCCUGGAGGGACGUAGGGGGAGCUGGAACUUCCGGUGGAGCGGUGAAAUGCGUUGAGAUCGGAAGGAACGUCCGUGGCGAAAGCGAGCUCCUGGACGUUUUCUGACGCUGAGACGCGAAAGCCAGGGGAGCGAACGGG